ensembl:lncRNA
CGCCCCCAACGGCGGCGGCCGAGGUGAAGAGCGGAGCCGGGAACUGACGCGGUGGCGACAGACCAGAUGGACGCUAAGAAGUCUGCUCGUGUGACAUUUCUGGCCGCUGCCCGCCCCUGUUUACGGGCUUGCUCAUUGCGGUGACCAGUGUGUGGGGAGGGGGAGGAGGAGUGCACACCGUCUCGUCUGUCACCGAGGCUUCCCUUCUUUCAUUUCAAGCCCCGUGUGCCCAUCAGGUGCUGAGUCACACCUCUCACAUGCCAAAAACGAAGAAACUCCUGGGAAGUUGGAGAGAACUGGGAAAAGAGAGUGGGCAGGUGACUAUUUAGCCAUGGUGGACUUGUUGAGGCAAUCUUUGCGUUCCCUUUGGAUUUCAAGAAUUUGUAUUAAUAUAAAAGCGUAACGUCUGUAGUCGGCGGAGAUCCUGAGAUUCGAGGGACCUUAGUCCUUCUGAGAAUGAGUGAUGUCAGUUUAUUUUUAGUUCACUUGUUGACCACGCUGAGCCGUCAUUAUGCAUUAGGAAUGUGCUUAAGUGCCCGCCCUGCACCUGCUCAUUCACUUGCACAACAACCCAAUGAAGAAGGAGCCGGUUUGCAGAUAAGAAACUUGAGGACAUAUAAAGGAAAUAACUUGCCCAAGGUUACAAUAAAGUUAAAUAUAAAUCUCUCGGUCCUUAAAACUUACUACAACCUUAGGUAAAGCUGCUUUUGUCUUGGGACCUCUCUCUGCCUGGGUUCAAAAUCUGACCCCACCACAUUCUAGCUGGAUGACCUUGGGGGAGCCACUUAAUAAUUUAUCUAAACCUGUUUUCUCAUAAGUUAAAAGAUGAAGAAAAACAUUUAACGCUAUUCUGUCCCACGUUUGGGAGAAAAUUAAAUUGUGUGUGUGGGUUUCCUGUAAUUAAUACAUGGGAACUGUUUAUUUGGAGUCACAUGUAGCAUCAUGUGCUUGUUGCUUUGCAUCCUCAAAGAUUGCUAACUGCACAAAAGCAACUUUCAUUUUCUUUCAGUUGUCUGCAGGCUUGACCUGUUCUCAGGGAACUCAUAUUUGGUACAGCUGACCAUAAAGAAAUAUCACAAUGUUCAUUUAACACAAAUGUCUGCAAAUGAUAAAGUUCUCAGCCCGUCCCACUUGCUCUCAACACCUUUGCACCAUAGGAAGUUCCUGAAGUUUCCUGGAAGGAAAUGAAAGUUAUCAGGGAGAGAGUGAAAGUCAC